rnacentral:rRNA from 1 species
AAGGAAUAUUGGACAAUGGAGGCAACUCUGAUCCAGCCAUGCCGCGUGAAGGAAUAAGGCCCUAUGGGUUGUAAACUUCUUUUAGACGGGACAAAACCCCUUUACGUGUAAAGGGUUGAUGGUACUGUCAGAAUAAGCAUCGGCUAACUUCGUGCCAGCAGCCGCGGUAAUACGAAGGAUGCAAGCGUUAUCCGGAAUUAUUGGGUUUAAAGGGUGCGUAGGCGGACUAAUAAGUCAGUGGUGAAAGCCUGCAGCUUAACUGCAGAAUUGCCAUUGAUACUGUUAGUCUUGAGUACAGUUGAGGUAGGCGGAAUGUGUCAUGUAGCGGUGAAAUGCUUAGAUAUGACACAGAACACCGAUUGCGAAGGCAGCUUGCUAAGCUGUAACUGACGCUGAGGCACGAAAGCGUGGGGAUCAAACA